rnacentral:rRNA from 1 species
UACGUAGGGGGCUAGCGUUGUCCGGAAUCAUUGGGCGUAAAGAGCUCGUAGGCGGUUUGUCGCGUCUGCUGUGAAAACCUAAGGCUCAACCUUGGGCUUGCAGUGGGUACGGGCAGACUAGAGUGCGGUAGGGGUGACUGGAAUUCCUGGUGUAGCGGUGGAAUGCGCAGAUAUCAGGAGGAACACCGAUGGCGAAGGCAGGUCACCUGGGCCGCAACUGACGCUGGAGGAGCGGAAAAGCCAUGGGGAGCGAACAGG